ensembl:lncRNA
CUUUGCAACCCCAUGGACUGCCAGGCUUUUCUGUCCAUGGGGAUUUUCCAGGCAAGAAUACUGGAGUGGGUUGCCAUGCCCUCCUCCAGGGAAACUUCCCGACCCAGAAAUCGAGCCCAGGUCUCCUGCACUGUGGGAGGAUGCUCCGGCUAAACCAUCUGGGAAACCCAAGAAUGCUGGAGUAGGUAGCCUAUUCCUUCUCCAGGGGAUCUUUUCCACCAGGAAUCAAACCGGGGUCUCCUGUAUUGCAAGCGGAUUCUAAACCAUCUGAGCUACCAGGGAAGCCCAUGCUGCAGCAUAUUUUAUGCCCAUUGGAUAGGCAGGUUUGCCCCCUAAGGAGGCUCAGGAGAGGAUGGAGGGGGUAAAUUAAUUCCAGAAUCUUAGACAAGAACUUAGAGCCAAGAUCUUCUUGAGACUUUACAAGCAAAAAGCUGGCUAAGCUUUACACUGAACUGAUAUAUCAAAACUGAAUAGAUAGCCCUUUGUUUUUCAUUUUGAAAUCUCUGUCUUAAAACCAAAGGACUUUGGGGGCUUCAGGCCCCAAAAGGACACAAAUGAUAAGCGAAGAUCACUAAAAAAGAAAAACCAAGCCAGAUUUAAAAAAAAAAAAAGGGUCAAGAAAAGCAGCAACUCAGAGGCACUGUAACUUCUCAUUUUGCAGCGUGCAUCUAACCUUGAAGCUAGGGCCCCAGAGAAGGGUUAGAAGCAGUUUCACUUCGUCGAUUGCUCCCCGCGGGGCCUUUCCGGAAGCAGAAAGCAGAAGUUCUUGUUAUUAAAAUAGAGCCCAUUGUGCAUGCUAGAGCAACACCAUCGGCCGGGCGUCUCUUCCGGCUAGUCCACCGCUUCAUUUCGCAGGUUGGCUUCCCCCAACCCAUUUAUAUGAACUCUAUUGGAAACCCGGCUUUUGCGGGGAGCUAUGGAGUGUGUGCUGAAGCAUUUGGCUUCAGCCAAAUGGUAUAAAACACCAAGUGAAACACUAAGUUCUGCGGUAACCCCAGAGAUCAGAGCGGCUGCCCUGCACUGGUUUGGUCUAUGUUGCCACCUUGAAGAAGGUGUGGGAGUUUUCUGCCAGCAUCGUAUCUUUCUCCUGGAGACCAGGAAAGACUUGUGAUGACCCAGGUGGGUGGUGUGUGACCACAGGUUCUGUACUAGUGGCUUUAGGAAGUAGCCCUGAGGCCUGGGUU